rnacentral:rRNA from 1 species
UACGUAGGCAGCGAGCGUUGUUCGGAGUUACUGGGCGUAAAGCGUGCGUAGGCGGUGGCCUAAGUCUGUUGUGAAAUCUCCCGGCUUAACCGGGAGGGUGCGGCGGAAACUGGGUUGCUGGAGUGCGGGAGAGGUAAGCGGAAUUCCCAGUGUAGAGGUGAAAUUCGUAGAUAUUGGGAAGAACACCGGUGGCGAAGGCGGCUCUCUGGACCGACACUGACGCUGAGGCGCGAAAGCGUGGGGAGCAAACAGG